AGCUUGCUCUUCUUGGAUGAGUUGCGAACGGGUGAGUAACGCGUAGGUAACCUGCCUUGUAGGCGGGGGAUAAACUAUUGGAAACGAUAGCUAAUACCGCAUAACAAUGGAUGACACAUGUCAUUUAUUGAAGGGCAAUUGCUCCACUACAAGAUGGACCUGCGUUGUAUUAGCUAGUAGGUGAGGUAACGGCUCACCUAGGCGACGAUACAUAGCCGACCUGAGAGGGUGAUCGGCCACACUGGGACUGAGACACGGCCCAGACUCCUACGGGAGGCAGCAGUAGGGAAUCUUCGGCAAUGGGGGCAACCCUGACCGAGCAACGCCGCGUGAGUGAAGAAGGUUUUCGGAUCGUAAAGCUCUGUUGUAAGUCAAGAACGAGUGUGAGAGUGGAAAGUUCACACUGUGACGGUAGCUUACCAGAAAGGGACGGCUAACUACGUG
rnacentral:rRNA from 1 species